CGACCGGCAAACGGGUGCGGAACACGUACGCAACCUUCCUUUAACUGGAGAAUAGCCCCUCGAAAGAGGGAUUAAUACUCCGUAACAUAUUGAAAAGGCAUCUUUUUAAUAUUAUAGCUCCGGCGGUUAAAGAUGGGCGUGCGCCUGAUUAGAUAGUUGGCGGGGUAACGGCCCACCAAGUCUGCGAUCAGUAACUGGUGUGAGAGCACGACCAGUCACACGGGCACUGAGACACGGGCCCG
rnacentral:rRNA from 1 species